AUUGAACGCUGGCGGCAUGCCUUACACAUGCAAGUCGAACGGUAACGGGCCUUCGGGUGCCGACGAGUGGCGAACGGGGGAGUAAUACAUCGGAACGUGCCCGAUCGUGGGGGAUAACGAGGCGAAAGCUGUGCUAAUACCGCAAACGAACUACGGAUGAAAGCAGGGGAACGCAAGGCCUUGCGCGGACGGAGCGGCCGAUGGCAGAUUAGGUAGUUGGUGGGAGAAAAGCUUACCAAGCCGACGAUCUGUAGCUGGUCUGAGAGGAUGAUCAGCCACACUGGGACUGAGACACGGCCCAGACUCCUACGGGAGGCAGCAGUGGGGAAUUUUGGACAAUGGGCGCAAGCCUGAUCCAGCCAUGCCGCGUGCAGGAUGAAGGCCUUCGGGUUGUAAACUGCUUUUGUACGGAACGAAAAGCCUUCUUUUAAUACAGGAGGGUCAUGACGGUACCGUAAGAAUAAGCACCGGCUAACUACGUG
rnacentral:rRNA from 1 species